rnacentral:ribozyme from 12 species
AAGUAACAAGGAAGAAAAGCACAAGGAAAAGAGAGCUGUGCGCAUGAUUGUUGUUGUUUUUGUUGUUGUUUUUGUUGUUGUUUUU